CGCCGGUAAUCCCAUGCCCUUCCCCCAUCCCCCAUUCCAUCGCGAGCCAGACGUGCGACUCAAUCGCUAGCCCAUCGCGCCGCCGCUCCGUCCCUCGAGGAUCCGCCCGCCAUCGCGCGCGUCCUCCACCUCCGCCCGCCCGCUCGCCCGCCGCAGCGUGUGUCCUCCUCCGCUCGGGCGUUUCCUUCCACGGCGUCGCCGCUGCUCCGCAUGGGCUCGCUUCUUCCCUAGCGUCGUCGAUCCAAGCGGUCCCCGCUGCGCUGCAUCGGCCAUCGCCACGCCACACCACGGGCCGUUGCGCACUUCCCGUCGUCUCCGUCCAUCCUCCCCAACCUCACGUCGUGGGACGUCGUGGACCCUUGCGCCGUCGCGGGCCGUCACGCCGCGCCACCUUGCCGUCGCGGGCCGUCACGCCGCGCCGCCUUGCCUUCGCUGGCCCUCGCGCCGUCCCGCAGUUCCCGUCAUCUCCGUCCGUCCUCCCCCGCCACAUGUCGCAGACCCUCGCGCCGUUGCGGGCCGUCGCGCCGCCACGCCGCGCCAUCGCGGGCCCUUGCGCCCCUGCCUCCUCCGCCCGCGCCAUAGGGGCUGCACCCACUCCCAAGCAUCAACCUUUGGGAAUUGUGUUGCCUCUUCCUCAAGGACAAAGCUUGGGCAUCGACAAGUGCGCCCGACCUCUGCUUCCUGUUCUACCUUGCCUCAAUCACUCCAAGUGUUGCGCCAAGAGAAUUUGUCCGGGCGAGUACCUGGGGUUGCUUGAUUUGAAUUGUUUUGAGGUGGAAGUUAUCAGUGGUGGUGUAUCAUUUUCAUGUGCAAAGCUGAUUAACGGUGAUUCCUUGUGGAGAAUCAGAUGAUUCAGGUGGUACAUUUUCAUUUGACAGUCUCGGUACUACCUGAUUUGUUUGGUAGUUUGUACGAUCUGUUUGGUUAUUUUCUUGAAAUUUUGACAUGUUUGUAUUAAUCACGGUUAGUGCUACAUCUUGAAUAUAGUGCUGGGUAAAGUAAGGUGGAAGCUCCGACAGGUACUGGUAGUCCUGAUCUGCUAUGAGGCACACAUGAAGCACCGCAUCCUUGCUGGCCUAGAACACCACCGCCAUGCAUGCUCUGGCCGAACUUCCCAUCGCUGCCAACUGCAUCUGCAUCCUGCUUCUGGUGAGCACACGCUUACGUUCCCCUUUUCACUGCUCUGAUCUGUUAGAGUAUGUUAAUUGCCCUGGUUAGGUUAAGGUAUCAAUUGCCAUAUAAUUUGAAGUAGCCAACCAUGUCAUCUUUAUCUCGUGAGUGUCUCUGCUGAUAUACUCAUAUCUGGUAACUGAUAUGCAAUGUGAACUAUGAGGUUGGUUUUUAUUUUCAAGUAGUGAUUGUAAUGCAUAUAUUCCUUUGAAAUCACGUGCACUUUACAGAAUGCAGUUGUGAUAUGAAUGGCAAAUACCAGUGAUCUAAAUGACAGUUUACCAAUGCAGUAAGUCGAGGCCUAACAAAACAAGAUAAUUUUUUUUAGAGUAGAACUCUUAUGGUGCUAAGCAUCUUAAGGUGCUAAGCAUCUCUAAUUGCAGCCAAAUUGGCCUACAAAACUGAAAAGGAAAGGCUGCAAAGUUCCUAUUGAUAGGAUAAUGUGCCUUUUAUUUAACUGUCACAUCAUCUAGGUUUCCAAGUUGAGUUUUGCAGUAAAUACAUUGUCAUGCUUAGAUCCUUGCUUAUUCUUGAAUGUUGUGAAACAAUUGGUGCUUAAUGUUUGGUCCAAUAUUUUGAAAAAAAUGGUGCUUGAUGUCUGAUACAAUUUUUUAUCACCUAGAUCUUGAUGUCUGCAGAUGUGACACCUCCUCAUAUCUAUAAACGUUGACAAGGACAUUAAGUUUUUGUUACAGCUGCGUGUAAUUUUCAGUAUUUGUUCCAUUCAGUGCAUUCUACUUCCAGUAGUUGUAAUCCACUUUCAGUAUUUUGAUCCAUGAAAAUAUCCAUGGUAUUUUUAUGGAGUCAGGUGCCAGUUUCUUUUCUAACUUCACUUGGCAUUGCUUCACGUUUCUUCAUAUUGAACUGUAGAGCUUUAUCUGCAUCUCACAUUUUCUGGAAAAUGUUUAUGGAACCCACUUUACACAUGAUGGUUCCUAUUCUAAACGAAUAUAGUUAAGCUUAGGUGACAAUUUGUUUAUGUAAUUGAGGAAGAUGAGUCUUAACCCAAAAUGAUUACCCAAUAUUUAGUUUAACAAACACAUGAUCUGAUUAGCUAAGGUUACCUGAAUUUGAUCAAAUUGAGAUGUAUGCCCUAUACUGCAAGGCAUUAUGAUCAGAUUGGAUUAUCAUUCUUUGAUGAGCAUGCUCUGGAGGCCUGGACUACAGUGAAUAAUGUACGUUAGAGUACAUUAAAUUUGUUUCUCUGAAUGGCUGCAAUAUUUUGAUAUUCCUAUGUAAGCACAUUAUUUUGUUGGAUUCUCUAAAUUACAUGGACAAUCUACUGCUGUCAUCAGCCAUACGUACUAUUUAACUUUAACUGACAAAUAUUUUUGAGUACCUAUGUGUUAAUCCAGUGUUUGAUUUUUUAUGUAUUGUUAACCAGAUAAUAUACGUUGCUUUUUUGUGCAGACUGCAUUCCAGUGUCAAACAUUACUCGUAACCAUUUUCCAAUAUAUAAGUAGUCCAAAUUAUGUGUACGAAGUAUGAGACUUUGGUGACUUCCGUUUUAAGUGUUGAAACAACGUACAUAGUGUAUAUGAUGCUCAGAAAAUAGAAUAAAUUUGAGUAAUGCUUGCACUUCAGUGCACUGGAAAAAUGAUGAGUUCAGUAUAAUUUUUACUCUUAUCAUUUUUACUUUCAGUCUAGCUUUUCAUGGUUGUAGUACUAUUCUAUCGUGGUAGUGUCCUAUGCAUUUUAUAUUUUAGACAAUUCCUUUUUAUACUAAGAUGCAGAUCAAAUAAUUGGAAGGCAAUGCUGAAGGCUGAAUUUCAGUGAAGUGGUCUAUGGUCUAUUGCUUAAUUGCUGAUUGUAUUCAGUGUCAACAAACCAGCUAAUAUGACUGGUUUGAUUAGUUAAUGUUCAAUUACCAGGUUAGCAUAUUCGAGGACAGAUUGUAUGGAUCUGACAAAAAAGAACAGUGAUCACAUUCCAUUUGGAGACCUUCAUAACACCACCAAUGGAGUUACCAGUCAAAAUGAAUAGUUCACUGCCACAAGCUGCGCUUCGCUGAAUUGCACUAC